AGAUGUGGCCCACAGGUGCUGCUGUGUCUCCAGCAAAGGCAAGGGAGCCCACAGCUGCAGGGGUGAGGUGUCAUCAAGGGUCUGGGGCCCUGGGAGUGUGGGUGCUGGGCAGAGCAGUCAUCAGGCUACAGUCUGAAGCCCAGCCCACGGCCAUGGUGGGGGCAGGGCAGGGGUCUCAUAACAGCUGCCCCGAAAUUGUGUGCCCAGCUGGCGAGGGCAGGGCCUGGCACAGAAUGCACACUUGAUUUUGGCUGCAGACAAGCCUCCCGAGCUCAUCUGCAGGUGGAGAGGCACCAGAGCCCCCACGCCGAGGGAGCUGCUCGGGGCCAACCCCAUGGAGAGUGGCCAUGUUCAAGUGGGGCCUGGGCCACACGGGACUCCGCUGAAGAGAAGGAAAUCCCUCACAGUGAGAAGGCAGGCACAGGCCCAGGGGUAGGGGUAUCAGGCCCCCAACCUGAGUUCAAAGCUCCUGGGGGUCCAAAGAAAUUGAGCGACCUUUUCUAAGAUCACAUCCCAAGUGCCAGGUGUCCAAUGACAUAUUCGUAGUUCACCACAGUGUCACUAGUAUCUUACACACACACCUCAUCUUUGCUAAUGCAUAGGUAUCAUCAUACCCACAAUUUAAGAUACGUUAAAACAGAGCUUUAUAAAAAAAUGUCACUGUUAGUGUUUCAAUAUGAUCUCCCAAAUAACUAUCCUUUAAAAGCAUGUUCCGGGCCGGGCACAGUGGUUCACACCUGCAAUCUCAGCACUUUGGGAGGCCAAGGCGGGCAGAUCACUUGAGGUCAGGAGUCCAAGACCAGCCUGGCCAACAUGGUGAAACUUCGUCUCUACUGAAAAUACAAAACUUAGCUGGGCGUGGUAGCAUGCACCUGUAAUCCCAGCUAUUUGGGAGGCUGAGGCAGGAGAAUCACUUGAACCCAGGAGGUGGAGGCUGCAGUAAGCCAAGAUCGUGCCACUGCACUCUAGCCUGGGUGACCAGACUGAGACUCUGUCUAAAAAAAAAAAAAAAAAAAA
rnacentral:lncRNA from 1 species